rnacentral:rRNA from 1 species
UUCUACAGCCAUGCCACCCUGAACAUACCCAAUCUCAUCUGAUCUCGAAAGUUAAGCAGGGUCGGGCCUGGUUAACAUUUGGAUGGGAGACCCCCUAGGAAGACCAGGUGCUGUAGGCA